rnacentral:lncRNA from 10 species
CGCGCGUUCAGCCCCAAGUCUCAGGGCCACUCGUCUGGGAAGUUGUAGAAUCUGUAUAGCCAACCUACACAACCUCCAAGGGGGCCUGCUGCCAUCAGACUGGAACUAAACCAUCAGCUCUCAUGGGACUCCAUCUUGCUGACUUAUCCUGCAGAUCUUGGGAUUUAACCGCCUCCAUAAUCACGAAUCCUCCCUCCAGGUCACUGGGAGCUUCAAUUCCUUAGAAGAAAGAAAGAGAUGACUCCUGCUUCAUAGUCCAGGAAAAUCCCCACACACCGUGGAGGCUCUUUAAGGCGGAAGGAGGUCUGCGGGGAUGUGAGAGCUUCAUACUCAUUCCCACGACUCUGUCGCAGAAGCCAGUGUCCAUUGGCAGAAGCAACUAUCACCAUACUAUGAAGUAGCACAAGCCCUUCACCAGAUACAGUCGCCCAAUCUUGGACCAUCCAGCCCCAAGAACCAUGAGCUAAAUAAACCUUUUUCCUUGAUAAAUUACCCAGUCUCGGGUAUUCUGUUAUAGCAACAGAAAACAGAGUAAGACACCACAUUUGUCUUUGAUGUUCCAAAAUAAUCAAAUGUGUGAUGAUAAAUACAGGGUUUGUUGUUAGAUCCUGUAGCCACAUAGCAUGUUUGAAUCCCAGCUCUGCCACAUGCUAGUUAU